rnacentral:tRNA from 1 species
GAAAUCUUAGUUAAUAUUAUAACUUUAUCUUGUCAAGUUAAAAUAGCUGUUGAGCAGAUUUUU